GGGCGGGUAGCGUAGUGGUCAGCGCAUUCCCUGAGCGUGCAGCUUUUCUUCCCUAAGCCGGAUUUCAGCGUUGGUUUUCUAAAUAUAUAUUGUACAUAUCAAAGCGUUCAUUGAAAGACCUGGGUUCGAUUCCCAGCCCGCCCA